UAUUAUUGUGUAUAUAAAUUUAAUAUUUUAAAUAUUAUUAGUUAUGUUCUUUAAAUUUAAAGAAAUUGACGGUAUUUUAGUCUUUUCAGAGGAAUCUGUUCUAUAAAUUGAUAAUACACGAAUUGAUUAACUUUAUCUUGUUUAACUUGUAUAUCGUUGUCAUAAAUUUAUUUUUAAAAGAAUUAUUUUUAGUAAAAAUUAUUAAUUGAGAUGUCAAAUCAAGGUGCAGUUUAUGAUAAAGUGGAAAUGGAUUACAAUUUUAUAGUAAACGAAUAAAUUAAUUUAAAAAGUUAUUGAAGGUGGAUUUGAUUGUAAAUUUAUUAAUUAAUAUGUUGAUUUGAGCUCUAAAAUAUGUACAUAUCGCCCGUCAUUCCUGUUAAUAAAAUGGG
rnacentral:rRNA from 1 species